CUUUUUUAAGAAAACAGAAAGCUUUUUGUUUUCUCUCCUUCCCCUUUUCUCCCCCAUUUCUCUCUUUUUGGCUAGGGCUUCAUACCCAUCAUCGCCGCCGCCAUUAAGGCCACCAUGGACGGUGGUUGAAGGCAUGUGAAAAGGAGGGUUUUUCACCUCCGUUUAAAGAGUUUGAAAACCGAGCCUCCUCAAAACCCCCUCAAAAAAACGAUAUAUGAAAGAAAGGCCCCUUUUUCUCUCUUGAAAUCGACUUCAGCGACGGAGAGGAGAACUCCGAUGGCCGACCACGGGGCGUUCGGAUAAGGUUCUCCUCUUUUUGUUUUCUUUUUAUUGAUUUUUCUAUUUAAAAUAGAUUUGUAAUGAAAAUAAAAAGAUAAAAAAAUAUAAAUUGAACAAAAAGAAACCGAACAAGUAGAGACUAAAAUCAACCUUUCUUGAUUUUGUUUUCUUGAUUUUUUACUGAUGUGUGUGUAAAAAGCUUUUGUAAAAAAAGAAGAAGAAAUUUCAAUGACCAAGUUCUGGCUUUUAAAGCCAAGUUACAAGACUUUUAUUUUCUAUUUUUUGUCUUUUUGCUCUUGUUUCUUCUGCUACUUGGCCUCUGUUGUUGCUGUUGUUUCUUGUUGUUUGUGUUUGCAAGGUAUAGGAGUGUCAGACGCGUGGAGCGUGGUGACCAAGGCUGAGGGGCAUGCGUGGGGCGUGGUGGCCAAG
rnacentral:lncRNA from 1 species